ACGGUUUCUUUCUUUCUCGCAUUUCUUUCCCCCGCCGAUUGUUACGAAUCCCCAAUUAGUUUUGCUUAUAAUACAUUUCCUUUAUCGCUAUUUCGUUAUUAUUGUACAUACGUCCUCUUCCGCGUGUAUAUGUAUAUAUGUAUGUACGCGCGUACUUACCCGACUAAUACAUUAUUCAACACAAAACAGCGACCGGGUACUAAUAUCAAACGAAACGCGAGUGGUUUACUGUGUGUCUAUACAUACUAUACCGACUGAUACCG